rnacentral:rRNA from 1 species
CCCUUAGAUGUCCUGGGCCGCACGCGUGCUACACUGACGCCUACAGCGAGUACUUCCCAGCCCCGAGAGGUGGCUGGUAAUCAGCAAUAGGCGUCGUGAUGGGGAUAGAUCUUUGGAAUUAUGGAUCUUGAACGAGGAAUGCCUAGUAAGCGCAGGUCAUUAGCCUGCGCUGAUUAAGUCCCUGCCCUUUGUACACACCGCCCGUCGCUCCUACCGAUUUCGAGUGGUCCGGUGAAUCUUUCGGACUGCGCGCGGCCUCGUGCCGUGUCGCGGAAAGUCAGGUAAACCUUAUCACUUAGAGGAAGGAGANGUCGUAACA